rnacentral:rRNA from 1 species
UACAGAGGUCUCAAGCGUUGUUCGGAUUCAUUGGGCGUAAAGGGCGCGUAGGUGGCGCGGAAAGUCAACGGUGAAAGCUUGGGGCUCAACCCCGAGUCGGCCGUCGAUACUUCUGGGCUUGAGCACUGUAGAGGCAGGUGGAAUUCCGGGUGUAGCGGUGGAAUGCGUAGAGAUCCGGAGGAACACCGGUGGCGAAGGCGGCAUCCUGGACCGGUAUUGACGCUGAGGCGCGAAAGCUAGGGGAGCAAACGGG